rnacentral:rRNA from 1 species
UACGUAGGGUCCGAGCGUUGUCCGGAAUUAUUGGACGUAAAGGGCUCGUAGGCGGUUUGUCACGUCGGGAGUGAAAACUCAGGGCUCAACCCUGAGCGUGCUUCCGAUACGGGCAGACUAGAGGUAUGCAGGGGAGAACGGAAUUCCUGGUGUAGCGGUGGAAUGCGCAGAUAUCAGGAGGAACACCGGUGGCGAAGGCGGUUCUCUGGGCAUUACCUGACGCUGAGGAGCGAAAGCAUGGGGAGCGAACAGG